UGCACCUGCCAUGGAAGGACCCUGGGUGGUA
rnacentral:piRNA from 1 species